rnacentral:piRNA from 1 species
ACAUGGCUUGGACUUUCUCACCCUGGGGC